rnacentral:rRNA from 1 species
UACGUAGGGCGCAAGCGUUGUCCGGAAUUAUUGGGCGUAAAGAGCUCGUAGGCGGCUUGUCACGUCGAUUGUGAAAGCCCGAGGCUUAACCUCGGGUCUGCAGUCGAUACGGGCUAGCUAGAGUGUGGUAGGGGAGAUCGGAAUUCCUGGUGUAGCGGUGAAAUGCGCAGAUAUCAGGAGGAACACCGGUGGCGAAGGCGGAUCUCUGGGCCAUUACUGACGCUGAGGAGCGAAAGCCAGGGUAGCGAACGGG